ACAAAAUAAAGAACCUGCCGGACUUCAAGAGGAACAUUCAAAUUGAUUCAGUCCAGUCUUCCUUCAGUCAAGUUUCUGUGAACAGCUGGGGUUCCUCUGGAUUAAAGUUUAAUAAAAGCCAGCCGGACUUCAAGAAGGACUUUGAAACACCUGCUGAUUCAGUCCUGUCUUCAUUGAGUCGCGAGUCCCUGUAUAAGAUGUCGUCAAAAGAAGACAGGAUGUACUUUUAAAAGAAAGGAAAAGAAGAGACGAGCUCCUCCACUGCAACAGGAAGCAAAGUCAACACACCCAACAAUAUCUGCUGCUGCUCUUCUGUUCUCAGCUCUUCC